rnacentral:lncRNA from 1 species
UGGAAGGAUGCCGGUCUCUGGUAGACCUCCUGGAUGGAAUAUCUGGCGAAGCCUCUGCUACUGGUGACUGCUCAUGAAAAUCAUCAUCCAUCUCAACUUAUGUGGGAGUUUCAACAUCACCAUUGUCAGGUUGGUCAUCAUGUGCUUCAUCUUCAACCUGUGUAGGAAGAUGUGUCAAAGGAACUGGAUCAAAGUCAAUU